AGUUCCUCAGAUUCAGCGCGGGGGAGAGCUGCGGGCCCCGCCGGGGGAGCCCAGGGGGCCUUCGCAGAGGAUCUGGAGGCCUUUCAGAAAGGAAGCCAGGUGCAGGGACGACCCGAAGCCCGGACCCCAGCCCCGGCGCUGCAACAGGCCCGCCCUCCCUGCCUUGGCCCUUCCCUCUUACUAUUUUUAUUUUGAGCGAGAGUCUCGCUGUGUCACCCAGGCUGGUCUCGAACUCCCCCUCCCAAAGUGCUGGGAUCACAGGCGUGAGCCACCGCGCCCGCUGGCUCCCGAUCUUCCGCGGGGCCCAGACGCCAAGGUCCCGGCUCUCCAUUCGAAAGCGGAGUCCCCCUCUCCGGAGUCGAAUGGAAUCCCCGCUUCCCGGCUUCCCGCUCCUGAGGCUUAGUCCCCGCCUCUCCCCGAGGGGCUCAGCCCCGCUGUUUCCUCCAGAGGCGGAUCCCGCAGUUUUCCCCCCAGAAAAGGAAUUCAGCAUUUUUUAUCCUAGGUCUAACCCGGCCUUCCGCUCCAAGACUAAGUGAUGGUCUACGCCGCCGGCGGCCGAAUCCCCACCCGCCCUACCAGAGGCUAAGCCCCCACCUCGCGCUUAAGGGAACGAGUCCCGAUCUGUCGCCGUAGUGCCGCCCCAGGCUGCCGGCCGCCGAGUCCCCGUUCCCUCCGCACCCGCCACCCCGCGUAGGCUGACUCCCCGCUUGCCGCCCCAAACCGAAGUCCCAAUUUUUAGCUUCAGUGGCCUCAGAGACCUGACUUUUCCAAGCUUCCAUAGGAAGGUGAGGAUGGAGAGCAUCUGGCAUCCGGAGCCCCUGUCCCUCGGCACAGCCCCGAGGCCUCCGGGGGGUCGGGGGAAAGGGUUCGGGGACCGCAGGGGCGAUGAAGCCCCAAACCCUGAGCCAUUCUCCGUGCUUCUGGCCUUAGAGGGACUUGCGCACACAUGGCUGAGAAUAUUAACCAGAAAGGUGUUACUGAUACCAGAAAGGGGUCCCGAUCCAGACCCCAAGAGAGAGUUCUUGGACCUUGGGCAAAAAUUCCAGGCGAUUCCAUAGAGUAAAGUGAAAGCAAGUUUAUUAAGAAAGCAAAGGAAUAAAGAAGGGCUACUCCAUAGGCAGAGCACCAGCGUGGGCUGCUCAACUGAUUGUAGUUACUUCCUGACUAUAUGCCAAACAAGGGGUGGAUUAUUCAGGAGUUUUCCAGGAAAGGGGUGGGCAGUUCCUGGAACUGAAGGUUCUUCCCCCUCUUUUAGACCAUAUAGGGUAACUUCUGGACAUUACCAUG
rnacentral:lncRNA from 1 species